CUUACUCUCAGCACAUGAAUCACCG
rnacentral:piRNA from 1 species